GUUAAUGUGAGCUUAUCCAUGCGGUUAGGCACUCUUCAAAUAGGAAUCCAUUUUCUAACUGGCUUUCAUGCUUUAGUGAGUCGUCUAAGAUCCUUUCGAUGACCUAUGUUGUCUUGAAGGGAUAUCUAUAUGAUCCGAUCGAUUGCAUAAGACCCGCAGUAGCAAUAGAAUGGGGAAAGUAUACAGAAAAGACAGUUCUUUUCAAAUUCGAUUAUCUAUAUAUUAGUUCAUUUCUAUUUCUAGAUAUCUAUUUCU
rnacentral:lncRNA from 1 species